ACCCCUACGGGAGGCAGCAGUCGGGAAUAUUGCGCAAUGGAGGAAACUCUGACGCAGUGACGCCGCGUGCAGGAAGAAGGUUUUCGGAUUGUAAACUGCUUUAGACAGGGAAGAAGAAUGACAGUACCUGUAGAAUAAGCUCCGGCUAACUACGUGCCAGCAGCCGCGGUAAU
rnacentral:rRNA from 1 species